rnacentral:rRNA from 1 species
GAUGAACGCUGGCGGCGUGCUUAACACAUGCAAGUCGAACGAAGCACUUUAUUUGAUUUCCUUCGGGACUGAUUAUUUUGUGACUGAGUGGCGGACGGGUGAGUAACGCGUGGGUAACCUGCCUUGUACAGGGGGAUAACAGUUGGAAACGGCUGCUAAUACCGCAUAAGCGCACAGCAUCGCAUGAUGCAGUGUGAAAAACUCCGGUGGUAUAAGAUGGACCCGCGUUGGAUUAGCUAGUUGGUGAGGUAACGGCCCACCAAGGCGACGAUCCAUAGCCGACCAGAAGGGGGGGGGGGCAACAUGGGGAAAGAAACACGCACCAAGCGACCGCGGGAGGCAGAGGGGGGGAGUAAGCGAAAAGGGGUGAAGGCCUGAAACAGCAACGCCGCGUGAGAGAAAAAGUAUUUCUGUGUUUAAGACUCUACGGCAAGGGAAGAAAAGGCAGCCCCGGGAAUAGGCGGAAGGGCAAAAAACGGAC